AUGGCACAUUCUAGUGGGAAAACUUUGAUGCAGUGGCAGGUAGCAGCAUUGCUCUUUGCCAUGUUGGGUGGAAGUCUAGCAGUUUUAUUAUGUAACAUAGAAUCAAGUGAGCUAAAAUUAUGUCGUGACGCUGUUACCGGUGAAAACCCGCCAAACCCGGAUGCAAAAUGCUGCGAUGUUGUCCACCGUUGCAAUCUUACUUGCCUUUGCGAUUACAAGUCUGAACUGCCUUUAUUCGGAAUCAACCCUGCAAAUGCUAUGGCCUUGCCUGGUAAAUGUGGUUUGAAAAAGCCGUCCAAUUGUUAA